rnacentral:rRNA from 1 species
GACGAACGCUGGCGGCGUGCUUAACACAUGCAAGUCGAACGGAAAGGCCCUGCUUUUGUAGGGUGCUCGAGUGGCGAACGGGUGAGUAACACGUGAGUAACCUGCCCUUGACUUUGGGAUAACUUCAGGAAACUGGGGCUAAUACCGGAUAGGAGCUCCUGCUGCAUGGUGGGGGUUGGAAAGUUUCGGCGGUUGGGGAUGGACUCGCGGCUUAUCAGCUUGUUGGUGGGGUAGUGGCUUACCAAGGCUUUGACGGGUAGCCGGCCUGAGAGGGUGACCGGCCACAUUGGGACUGUGAUACGGCCCAGACUCCUACGGGAGGCAGCAGUGGGGAAUAUUGCACAAUGGGCGGAAGCCUGAUGCAGCAACGCCGCGUGCGGGAUGACGGCCUUCGGGUUGUAAACCGCUUUCGCCUGUGACGAAGCGUGAGUGACGGUAAUGGGUAAAGAAGCACCGGCUAACUACGUG